rnacentral:lncRNA from 1 species
UUUGUGUCUUGCUACGGUAUGUUUUUUUUUUUUUUAAUUUAAUAUCUAACAAAAAAAGAAAUGACAAACUUAAUUAAUAAAAUCGUGCCACGGGGGGUUUUAAGGAGAAGGGCAAUAACCGGAUUCACCGAGCCUGCAAGUAAUUAAUUAAUUAAUUAAUUCGUUUGCGUUGAAAGAGCUUAUCAAUCCAAACUCAAACCGUCGUGCAAGUAAUUUGGUAAAAAUUAAUUCGUUUUUGCUCAUGAGAGAACGUAUCUCAUGAACUCUGAAUUUAAAUUUUAUCAUUGGACAAGUAAUCUAAAACCAAUAAGCAAAUCCAAACGUGGGACUUUAAUAGCAAUCCCACAAAUUAAUCUAAUUCCUCCUCAUCUCGUCUCUCAAAACGAAGCCUAGGUGUUUGUAUAAUUUAUUAAAAAUGAAGAGCUACUCCCUACUAGCCAGAUGCAUUUCCUUAUGUACUACUAUUAUUAAAAA